CGCAUCUUGCGCUCCAUGGUAUUCCGUGGAGCAUGCCUGUUUGAGUGUCACGUCAACCCUCACCCUUGUGAUGUCAAAGUCGCAGGUGGUGGAUUUGGACCGUGCCGUAGUCGGCUCGUCCUGAAAUGCAUUAGCUUGCGCUUUUAGAGUGCUGGGCACCGGUGUGAUAAUUAUCUGCGCCAACGCCUUAAGCCUCUUCAGUGGUGCUGCUUACAAUCGUCCCGACGGACAACUUUAUAAAGCUUUGGCCUCAAAUCAGGUAGGACUACCCGCUGAACUUAA
rnacentral:misc_RNA from 1 species